GUCGAGCGGUAACAGAAAGUAGCUUGCUACUUUGCUGACGAGCGGCGGACGGGUGAGUAAUGCUUGGGAACAUGCCUUGAGGUGGGGGACAACAGUUGGAAACGACUGCUAAUACCGCAUAAUGUCUACGGACCAAAGGGGGCUUCGGCUCUCGCCUUUAGAUUGGCCCAAGUGGGAUUAGCUAGUUGGUGAGGUAAUGGCUCACCAAGGCAACGAUCCCUAGCUGGUUUGAGAGGAUGAUCAGCCACACUGGAACUGAGACACGGUCCAGACUCCUACGGGAGGCAGCAGUGGGGAAUAUUGCACAAUGGGCGAAAGCCUGAUGCAGCCAUGCCGCGUGUGUGAAGAAGGCCUUCGGGUUGUAAAGCACUUUCAGUCAGGAGGAAAGGGUGUGAGUUAAUACCUCAUAUCUGUGACGUUACUGACAGAAGAAGCACCGGCUAACUCCGUGCCAGCAGCCGCGGUAAUACGGAGGGUGCGAGCGUUAAUCGGAAUUACUGGGCGUAAAGCGUACGCAGGCGGUUUGUUAAGCGAGAUGUGAAAGCCCCGGGCUCAACCUGGGAACUGCAUUUCGAACUGGCAAACUAGAGUGUGAUAGAGGGUGGUAGAAUUUCAGGUGUAGCGGUGAAAUGCGUAGAGAUCUGAAGGAAUACCGAUGGCGAAGGCAGCCACCUGGGUCAACACUGACGCUCAUGUACGAAAGCGUGGGGAGCAAACGGGAUUAGAUACCCCGGUAGUCCACGCCGUAAACGAUGUCUACUAGAAGCUCGGAACCUCGGUUCUGUUUUUCAAAGCUAACGC
rnacentral:rRNA from 1 species